GAAACCGUUUGCAGGGAAACAGAUGGACCCACGAAGUCCAGUUGAGUGUGAAAUUCACAUUUCAAGACUGUUUAAAUUUGAGUGUACAUCUUCUUUCGAAGGUGUCUUCAAGUUAUUGACUGUCGAGAGAUGCAUUUUUCACAUUCACGAUGGAGCUCUGACUUCUUAAUCAAACCGAACUGCUUAGGGCAGCUCUUAUAUGUAGUGAGAUUCAUGUAAUCUUCGAUACAUGUUUGAGUGUGCAGUGAGGUUUAACUGAGAGGUUGAAUUUCUCACGUUUGUGAGUGAUUCAGUUUAUCGGUAAAAAUAUUUGAUAGGAAUGUGGCAAAAGAUACUGAUUAACUGUAAGUAGUUGACAUUGUCUUUUGUUCACAUUCCAAUUUAUCAGAUAUCUUUGCCAAUGAUAAUCCAGAGUAAGUAGGUCGGUCAUCCAUCUGACC
rnacentral:rRNA from 1 species